GAUGAACGCUGGCGGCGUGCCUAAUACAUGCGAGUCGAGCGGACAGACGAGGAGCUUGCUCCUCUGACGUUAGCGGCGGACGGGUGAGUAACACGUGGAUAACCUACCUAUAAGACUGGGAUAACUUCGGGAAACCGGAGCUAAUACCGGAUAAUAUAUUGAACCGCAUGGUUCAAUAGUGAAAGACGGUUUUGCUGUCACUUAUAGAUGGAUCCGCGCCGCAUUAGCUAGUUGGUAAGGUAACGGCUUACCAAGGCAACGAUGCGUAGCCGACCUGAGAGGGUGAUCGGCCACACUGGAACUGAGACACGGUCCAGACUCCUACGGGAGGCAGCAGUAGGGAAUCUUCCGCAAUGGGCGAAAGCUUGACGGAGCAACGCCGCGUGAGUGAUGAAGGUCUUCGGAUCGUAAAACUCUGUUAUUAGGGAAGAACAAAUGUGUAAGUAACUAUGCACGUCUUGACGGUACCUAAUCAGAAAGCCACGGCUAACUACGUG
rnacentral:rRNA from 1 species